rnacentral:rRNA from 1 species
AAUCAACGCUGGCGGCGUGCCUAACACAUGCAAGUCGAACGCGAAAGUCCCGCAAGGGAUAAGUAGAGUGGCAAACGGGUGAGUAACACGUGGGUGACCUGCCUUCGAGCGGGGGAUAACGUCCCGAAAGGGACGCUAAUACCGCAUAAUAUGCCGCCUUUUAACAGGUGGACAUCAAAGCUGGGGAUCGCAAGACCUAGCACUUGAAGAGGGGCCCGCGUCUGAUUAGCAGUUGGUGGGGUAAUGGCUCACCAAGGCAACGAUCAGUAUCCGGCCUGAGAGGGCGGACGGACACACUGGGACUGAGACACGGCCCAGACUCCUACGGGAGGCAGCAGUGGGGAAUUGUUCGCAAUGGGCGCAAGCCUGACGACGCAACGCCGCGUGGAGGA